rnacentral:rRNA from 1 species
AUACGGAGGGUGCAAGCGUUAAUCGGAAUUACUGGGUGUAAAGGGCGUCUAGGCGGAUUUAUAAGUCAGAUGUGAAAUCCCACGGCUCAACCGUGGAACGGCAUUUGAUACUGUAAGUCUUGAGUACGGAAGAGGAAAGCGGAAUUCCUGGUGUAGCGGUGAAAUGCGUAGAUAUCAGGAAGAACACCGGUGGCGAAGGCGGCUUUCUGGUCCGUUACUGACGCUGAAGCGCGAAAGUGUGGGGAGCAAACAGGAUUAGAAACCCCAGUAGUCC